rnacentral:rRNA from 1 species
AUUGAACGCUGGCGGCAGGCUUAACACAUGCAAGUCGCACGAGUGGCGGACGGGUGAGUAAUGUCUGGGAAACUGCCCGAUGGAGGGGGAUAACUACUGGAAACGGUAGCUAAUACCGCGUACCAUAGGAUGAGCCCAAGUGGGAUUAGUUAGUUGGUGAGGUAAAGGCUCACCAAGCCGACGAUCUCUAGCUGGUCUGAGAGGAUGACCAGCCAACUUGGGACUGGGCCACGGCCCAGCCGCCUACGGAAGGCAGAAGUGGGGAAUAUUGCGCAAUGGGGGCAACCCUGACGCAGCCAUGCCGCGUGAAUGAAGAAGGCCUUCGGGUUUUAAAGUUCUUUCGGUAGCGAGGCGUUAACUACAGAGGAAGCAACGGCUAACUCCGUGCCAGCAGCCGCGGUAAUAC